rnacentral:lncRNA from 1 species
GUUAAGUGGCAAGCAGGGCAGCCCAGGCAUCCCAUGCCCCUGGCCUCAGUGUCCUGAACCGACCCACUGAAAACUGGAUGGAGAACAAUGGUGCUCUUGGGCAGCUGUCACUGUCCUCAGCAAAAAGAACUCCCAUCGGAGCCUUUAAUAUUCGUACCAGUUUUAAUGGUCAACAUUGUGAGGGCCAGGGCCCCAGGCACUUGGCUUUGCAGGUGUGGCCACAAUCAGCCCAGGGGACAAGAUAUGAUCCAUGUGUUCCAGUGAAUUCCCCAACUGAGGAAUGUAGCAGACUUCACAUGACACAAUUGGGCGUAGCUGAGCAGAACCUGUGGGGACCCAAGGAUGUGAUUGUCUCCAACUCCCUGC